AAAUUUUAAGGAAAUUGAGGUAACUCAUUUCAUCUGACAACCAAUGUUUUCCCUUCUCUGCAAUCAAAUUAUUUUACAGAUAUGAACAGAGAAGUUUCACAUGCACUUCUUAAUUACCUUUUCACGAAUUGAUUACUGAAAAUCUGAUGAAGGUUUUGAAAUUAUGAUACCUCUGUACAACAAGAGGGUUCUUAGCUAUAUUUUCUUUGGAUGGUUUCUCCUUGCUUUUUUGUUUCCCAGCUGGAGGUAUGCAUGUCGAUUGCAUCGUUUUUAUUUGAUAUGUAACAAAUUAUUAGAGAUCCUUGUUGAUUUGCUGUUUCACAUAUUUAGAAUGGAUAACCUCGCAUCGCUUUGGAAAU